UCUUUGCAUAGCCCAAUGCCCAACACUUGGGGACUGAGAUCGGACACCAUGAGAAAGGGGAGGGGAAGGUGGAGAGAAGAGAAGAUGCCAUAGAAUUCUGAACAAAGGAUAAAUGAUUACGGCAGAGCUAAAUUCACAGCAUGUGGGAAGGCUUCACCAUCAAAAGGAUAAACAGCACAGAUGAGAACGCUUCCAACUGUGAUUCAUGAAGCCUAUUGUCUUAGACUUAUAGACUGUACAAUGACCCUGCUUCAUGGAAAGGACCCUGAUAGCAACACACAGAGCUGGGGUCCACCCAGGGUCCCAUGUGUGCUAGGUCCUUACGCCAAAGCGCCGCGGCAGGAAACUUCAUCUGGAAUGCUGAAAUUAAAGGUGAACUUCCU